rnacentral:rRNA from 1 species
ACACAUGCAGUCGAACGAUGAACCACUUCGGUGGGGAUUAGUGGCGAACGGGUGAGUAACACGUGGGCAAUCUGCCCUGCACUCUGGGACAAGCCCUGGAAACGGGGUCUAAUACCGGAUACUGACCCGCUUGGGCAUCCAAGCGGUUCGAAAGCUCCGGCGGUGCAGGAUGAGCCCGCGGCCUAUCAGCUUGUUGGUGAGGUAAUGGCUCACCAAGGCGACGACGGGUAGCCGGCCUGAGAGGGCGACCGGCCACACUGGGACUGAGACACGGCCCAGACUCCUACGGGAGGCAGCAGUGGGGAAUAUUGCACAAUGGGCGAAAGCCUGAUGCAGCGACGCCGCGUGAGGGAUGACGGCCUUCGGGUUGUAAACCUCUUUCAGCAGGGAAGAAGCGAAAGUGACGGUACCUGCAGAAGAAGCGCCGGCUAACUACGUGCCAGCAGCCGCGGUAAUACGUAGGGCGCGAGCGUUGUCCGGAAUUAUUGGGCGUAAAGAGCUCGUAGGCGGCUUGUCACGUCGGUUGUGAAAGCCCGGGGCUUAACCCCGGGUCUGCAGUCGAUACGGGCAGGCUAGAGUUCGGUAGGGGAGAUCGGAAUUCCUGGUGUAGCGGUGAAAUGCGCAGAUAUCAGGAGGAACACCGGUGGCGAAGGCGGAUCUCUGGGCCGAUACUGACGCUGAGGAGCGAAAGCGUGGGGAGCGAACAGGAUUAGAUACCCUGGUAGUCCACGCCGUAAACGGUG